GGGAGGGGCGUUUCCUGCGGGGCGGGACUACCGGCCUCACCGCAGGAGCACAUCCCUGGGUGAGCCGCGGCUGGUUGGGCGGGGAACACGUGGAGUGGAGUUCCCGGGCCGCUCUGGCCGCGCGGGGCGGGAGAGUGACGUGACGGGGACCGCCUCCGUGCCCUGGGCGAGCCGUGACACCCUGGCGUCGGCCCCAUCUCCUCGAGACUCUGCUCGGCUGUGGGACGGGCGCCACCCGUACCUUCUCCCGGGUCCGCGAAGGCGGCUGUCUGGGUCUUGUGGGCACCGUACACCAUCUUCUAGAGAGGUUCGGAGCGGGGCAGGAAGCCGCAGGCGACCCUCGGCACCCAUUCUGGUCGCCCGUCUCUCGGGGCCCAUUCAGCCCACCCAAACCCCUAGCUGUGGCAGGGGCGGCAGCACGGAUGAAUCCGGCGCAGGGCUGUGUAACCUUUGAGGAUGUGUUCGUGUACUUCUCCCGGGAAGAGUGGGAGCUCCUUGAGGAAGCUCAGAGACUCCUGUACCGUGAUGUGAUGCUGGAGAACUUUGCACUCGUGUCCUCACUGGGACUCGCUGUUUCCAGGUCCCAUGUAGUUACCCAAAUGGAGCCCGAGGGGAGCCCAGGGUGCCUGAGAAGGUAGACACAGCUCCAACUCCAGCAAAGAAGACCUGAAGGAGACUGGGCCCUGGAUCCAUACUGGAGGAAAACCCUUUGAGUGUAAAGAUCAGAGAGCCUUUUGUGACUGCUCUUCCCUAACUCUACGAGGAGUAACAGUGGGAGAAACCGUGUGGAUACAGUGAGUGUGGACACACUUUCAGGCUUUAUUCAUCCCUCACCCACCACCUAAGUAUUCAUACUGUGGAGAAAUUCUGUGAGUAUAAGGGAUGUGGGAAAGCAUAUUGCAAGUGGACUUACCUCAGUCAAUACCAGAGAACUCAUAUUGGGGAGAAUGCAACUCCUGAGGAAAAUGUUUGCCAGAGGAAGCAUCUUGCUCGGCGUCUGAGAAAUUAUACCAAAGAGAAACCCUGUAAAUGAUAUUGUUGUGAGAAAAUCUUCUGAAACAGAUCCUCACUUACUGUCUCCUAAAAGAUCCUAUUGGAAGUUGACUCAGCUAGGACCUUACUCUACAAAUGAACUUAAAAAGAAGAGAAAAAUAGUAGUUAAUUGUGCAGUUAACAAAACCUUCAGCUACGGCUCAGUCUCAGUAUGUGCUGAAAAGCAAUCAUGGAAUUUUUUAAAAAUGAGAAAAGGCCUAAGGGAGGAGGAGAGAAAGAAGUAGAUUUGACAGAAAAAGGAAUACAUUCUUGGUUUCUUUCAGGUUUCCCUGACAAACCCAUGACAAUUUAUUUUCAGUUGUUUCUGUUUGGGAUGGCAGGUGGGAGCAGUGUUUGAGAGGUGAAGGGACGGCAUCCCUUCACGAGACUUACUAUACACUGCUGUUCUGUGCCAGGAGAGCUGGACACCUGACAGCAGCUCUGCAGGUAUUUGUCAAAAUCCUUCUUUGUUGAAAAACACUGACUCGCCAUUAGAGGUCGUAAGUCUUUGUGAUAAAUGUGAAGUCUUGAUUUAUGAAGCAUUUAAAACUUAAAAGAAAUUAGACCACUAAAAAUAUUGUUGCCUAAAAUUAUUUUAUAUCUAAGAAGCUAAGGACAGAUAUAUGAAUGGGUAUAUUUUUUGCACCGUUUAAGACUAUCUAAGGUUUCAGUCACUUAUGCACUUCUUUAUUGAGAUAUAAUUAACACAUAAUAACAUCAUGUGAGUUUAAGGUGUACGACAUUGAUUUUACGAAUCUAUGUUGCAGUGAUUGCCACUGUAGCAUUAACUAAACACCUGUAUCCUAGUAGUAUCCUGUAUUCUGUGCUCCUAGUUCGUGAUAUAGUUUUGUUCCUCAUAAUAUCUGUACUGUGUAUUGGAUCUUCAGGACUUAUUUAUCUACUAGUUGCAAGUAUGUACCCUUAAACAACAUCCCCCCACCCAAGCCUUUGGUAGCCAUCAUUCUCUCUAUUUGAGUUCAGUUUUUUUGUUUUUCUCUUAAGAGUCCACAUAUAAAAAUAUGUAGUAUUUGUCUUUCUCUGUUUAACUUAUCUCAGCAUAAUGUCCUUAAGGGCAUUCUGUAUUACCACAAAUAACAGCAUUUCCUUUUUCCUCAUGACUGAAUGAUAUUCCAUUGUGUAUAUACCACAUCUUCUUUAUCCUUUGGUGGACACUUAAGUUGUUACCAUAUCUUGUCUCUUGUGUACAAAGCUACAAUAAACAUGGGAGUGCAGAUA